AGCUGUAUCCCACGUGUAUUAUAUCUAUUGGACAAAUUUUGAGCCUUCAGAAUUUUCAACUCACUCUGUUUGGGACAGCUACAUCCAAAACUCACUCUUCUAUUACUACUUGAGAUCCAGAAACGUGUAUCUAGGAGCUGACUGAGAACAUCUAGGACUCCCUCUGUGGCAGGUCUUUUGACCUAUUGAUGUGCCUUUCUGUCCACUAUUAAUGGCGGAUUGUUUGUGAGUGCAAUAUUUACCUUAUCUUUUGUUAUUGUAUCAUAUGGUUUUACGCCAUGUUUUGUUUUAUAUUUAUGUUUUUA